CCCCUAGUAACUGCGAGUGAAGCGGGAAAAGCUCAAAUUUAAAAUCUGGCAGUCUUUGGCUGUCCGAGUUGUAAUCUAGAGAAGBGUUAUCCGCGCUGGACCGUGUACAAGUCUCCUGGAAUGGAGCGUCAUAGAGGGUGAGAAUCCCGUCUUUGACACGGACUACCAGGGCUUUGUGAUGCGCUCUCAAAGAGUCGAGUUGUUUGGGAAUGCAGCUCAAAAUGGGUGGUAAAUUCCAUCUAAAGCUAAAUAUUGGCGAGAGACCGAUAGCGAACAAGUACCGUGAGGGAAAGAUGAAAAGAACUUUGGAAAGAGAGUUAAACAGUACGUGAAAUUGCUGAAAGGGAAACGCUUGAAGUCAGUCGCGUUGUCCAGGGAUCAACCUUGCUUUUGCUUGGUGCACUUUCUGGUUGACGGGUCAGCAUCAAUUUUGACUAUUGGAAAAAGAUCAGGGGAAUGUGGCAUCUUUGGAUGUGUUAUAGCCCUUGGUUGCAUACAAUGGUUGGGAUUGAGGAACUCAGCACGCCGCAAGGCCGGGUUUUUAACCACGUACGUGCUUAGGAUGCUGGCAUAAUGGCUUUAAUCGACCCGUCUUGAAACACGGACCAAGGAGUCUAACAUGCCUGCGAGUGUUUGGGUGGAAAACCCGAGCGCGUAAUGAAAGUGAAAGUUGAGAUCCCUGUCGUGGGGAGCAUCGACGCCCGGACCAGACCUUUUGUGACGGUUCCGCGGUAGAGCAUGUAUGUUGGGACCCGAAAGAUGGUGAACUAUGCCUGAAUAGGGUGAAGCCAGAGGAAACUCUGGUGGAGGCUCGUAGCGAUUCUGACGUGCA
rnacentral:rRNA from 1 species